rnacentral:rRNA from 1 species
AGAGUUUGAUCCUGGCUCACAGUGAACGCUGGCGGCGUGGCUAAGGCAUGCAAGUCGCACGGGGUAGCAAUACCCAGUGGCGCAAGGGUGAGUAAUGGAUAGCUAACGUACCUUUAACCGGAGCAUAGCCAGUCGAAAGAUUGGGUAAUUCUCCAUAAAGUCGCGAGCAAGCAUUUGUUUGCGACCAAAGAUGAGGACCG